GGUUAAGUGACUAAGCGUACACGGUGGAUGCCUUGGCAGUUGGAGGCGAUGAAGGACGUAUUAACUUGCGAUAAGCUUAGUCAAGCUAGUAAAAAGCACUUGAGACUAAGAUUUCCGAAUGGGGAAACCCACCUGCUUGCAGGUAUCGUUAACUGAAUACAUAGGUUAACGAGGCGAACGCGGAGAACUGAAACAUCUAAGUACCCGUAGGAAAAGAAAUCAACCGAGAUUCCGGAAGUAGCGGCGAGCGAAACCGGAACAGCCCUUAAGCUUAUUAUGUGUUAAUGGAAGGCUCUGGAAAGUGCCACGAUACAGGGUGAUAGUCCCGUACAUGAAAAUGCAUUUUAAGUGAAAUCGAGUAGGUCGGAGCACGUGAAACUUUGACUGAAUAUAGGUGGACCAUCAUCUAAGGCUAAAUACUCCCAACUGACCGAUAGUGAACCAGUACCGUGAGGGAAAGGCGAAAAGAACCCCUGUGAGGGGAGUGAAAUAGAACCUGAAACCGUGUACGUACAAGCAGUAGGAGCAGACUUGUUCUGUGACUGCGUACCUUUUGUAUAAUGGGUCAGCGACUUAUAUUUUGUAGCGAGGUUAACCGAUUAGGGUAGCCGUAGGGAAACCGAGUCUUAACUGGGCGAAUAGUUGCAAGGUAUAGACCCGAAACCCGGUGAUCUAGCCAUGAGCAGGUUGAAGGUUGAGUAACAUCAACUGGAGGACCGAACCCACUAACGUUGAAAAGUUAGGGGAUGACUUGUGGCUUGGAGUGAAAGGCUAAUCAAACCGGGAGAUAGCUGGUUCUCCCCGAAAUCUAUUUAGGUAGAGCCUCGGACGAAUACUUACGGGGGUAGAGCACUGUUAAGGCUAGGGGGUCAUCCCGACUUACCAACCCUUUGCAAACUCCGAAUACCGUAAAGUACUAUCCGGGAGACACACGGCGGGUGCUAACGUCCGUCGUGAAGAGGGAAACAACCCAGACCGCCAGCUAAGGUCCCAAAGUCAUAGUUAAGUGGGAAACGAUGUGGAAAGGCCCAGACAGCCAGGAGGUUGGCUUAGAAGCAGCCAUCCUUUAAAGAAAGCGUAAUAGCUCACUGGUCGAGUCGGUCUGCGCGGAAGAUGUAACGGGGCUAAACUAUGCACCGAAGCUGCGGAUUCAGAAUUUAUUCUGAGUGGUAGGGGAGCGUUCUGUAAGCGGUUGAAGGUGUACCGGGAGGUAUGCUGGACGUAUCAGAAGUGCGAAUGCUGACAUGAGUAACGAUAAUGCGGGUGAAAAACCCGCACGCCGGAAGACCAAGGGUUCCUAUCCCAUGUUAAUCAGGGUAGGGUAAGUCGACCCCUAAGGCGAGGCCGAAAGGCGUAGUCGAUGGGAAACGGAUUAAUAUUUCCGUACUUGGUAUAAUUGCGAUGGGGGGACGGAGCAGGCUAAGCAAGCAUGGCGAUGGUUGUCCAUGUGAAAGUGAGUAGGUUGGUGACUUAGGAAAAUCCGGGUUGCUAAGACUGAGACACGAGACGAGCCACUAAGGUGGUGAAGUUGCUGAUGCCAUACUUCCAGGAAAAGCCUCUAAGCUUCAGAUUAUACCGAAUCGUACCCCAAACCGACACAGGUGGUCAGGUAGAGAAUACUAAGGCGCUUGAGAGAACUCGGGUGAAGGAACUAGGCAAAAUCGUACCGUAACUUCGGGAGAAGGUACGCUCCGAU
rnacentral:rRNA from 1 species